AAUAGAAACAUGGUCUCUUCCUGGAUCUCCAGCCUGCCAGCCUUUGAACUAGAACUAUACUGUUGGCUCUCUUGGGUCUCCAGCUGACUGACUACAGAUCUUGGGACUCGUCAGCCUGCAUAAUCAUGUAGACCUUUUUGGGUCAGAAUUGUGGAGAAAACAUCUGAGUCAGAUUACUAGGAUCUGAUGUGCAGGAAAAGCUCUUUGUAUGCACCAAGUCUGGACCUAUAACAUGGAAGAUUAUGAUCCACUAACCCUCCAGAUGACAGAAGCAAAGGAAGUUAAUUUGCUUGGGGUGAAAAUAGUUAAGCAGAUGUCAUAAUAACAGGUAUGCAGGGGUAAUGAAGAGUUUGAAAACUAUCAUUUUCUGUUUCUAGAAACUUUGGAGGCAUUGACUUAUUCCAAGAGAAUUUUCGUGUCCUUAUAUUGAAUUAUCACUUUCUACCUAAAACCGCCAUGAUUGUUUUCUGUCACUUAUCCUAGUUAAGACAACUUUCUAUUCUUCUGAUAACCCAUUUCAACGUUAUUAGGUCUAAAAUC